GACGAACGCUGGCGGCGUGCUUAACACAUGCAAGUCGAACGGAAAGGCCCUGCUUUUGUGGGGUGCUCGAGUGGCGAACGGGUGAGUAACACGUGAGUAACCUGCCCUUGACUUUGGGAUAACUUCAGGAAACUGGGGCUAAUACCGGAUAGGAGCUCCUGCUGCAUGGAGGGGGUUGGAAAGUUUCGGCGGUUGGGGAUGGACUCGCGGCUUAUCAGCUUGUUGGUGGGGUAGUGGUUUACCAAGGCUUUGACGGGUAGCCGGCCUGAGAGGGUGACCGGCCACAUUGGGACUGAGAUACGGCCCAGACUCCUACGGGAGGCAGCAGUGGGGAAUAUUGCACAAUGGGCGGAAGCCUGAUGCAGCAACGCCGCGUGCGGGAUGACGGCCUUCGGGUUGUAAACCGCUUUCGCCUGUGACGAAGCGUGAGUGACGGUAAUGGGUAAAGAAGCACCGGCUAACUACGUG
rnacentral:rRNA from 1 species